CCCAUGGGAUCUGCUUGUACCCGCUGGCUGCCUGCCACUUUCUGCCAUGAGUAGAAGCAGUCUGAGGCCCGUGCCAGAUGCAGCUGUCCCAGAAUCGGGCAAGCUGACUCCCACUUAGAAUGAGCUGCGGGAAAACAUAACUGGUUCCAAAUGUGCCACUGAGGGAGAAUUCUUCAAACUUGGUAAAAACUGACCCCACUGGCUGCCCACAAGUUCUCAGCUCGGUGAAGGUGAACUCAUCAAAAUAAAUCAGCCCUGGAAAAUGUGACUGCUCAGACGAGAAUGGCUUCAUACUUUCAGCAUAUGCACCCCAGUCAACAACUGCAGGAUAGGUGGGUUCACGGCGAGGCCGAGACUUCAAUUCUGAGAGCAUCAGCUGACCACUCUCUGUUUCCAUGUCAUAGUGAUAUACCUUGACUGCUUCUGGGGCAUAGAUACCACUCCCUACAGGCAACAAGAAACACAAACAUUGGUUUCAACUUUUUUAUGGUGACAAACCAAUAGAUUUAUUCCCGUGUGAAAUUAAAGUUAUUAAAGCAUAAGCAUUUUCAAAAUAGUUUAAGAGACAGCUGUUACAUUGCUAUAAGGUCUGAUUUGACUCCGUGUCCUCCAUAAAGUAUUGUUUGUACUGAAAUUAUCAUUAGAUGUGAAGGGCUUCUCUUUUUUUUCUUUUCUUUUUUUACUUUAAUCAUUUUUAAGCCAACUUAACAACAAAUGAGAAAAUUCCCCAAACAUGAAGAAUAAUUUUAGCUCUCCACUGACCUACUGAAUUUAUUUGUGUUUGAGAUUCUUCACCUGCAUCAAUGAUUUACAAAGCAGUAAGGAGGGGAGCUUGCAUUACUUUGAACAUGGAUAUGAUAAAGGAUAAACUCUGAAAACCUGAUUAAGUCUGAAGUGAUUUUCUCAUCUCAACAACAAGAUAUACUUCAAUAUUACUGAUGGAUGCUGGCUGAGAAGUUCCUUAGAUCUGGCUUUGAUUUUUAUGUGACUUGACUUCUCUCUAUCUCCAAUUUCCCUUCAUGUAAAACUGAGAUAAUAA